AGAAGAGGAUAAGUUUAAAGAUGAAAAAAUAAGGUCACCAGCUAGCAAGUUUGGAAAAUCUCAUUAUCAUGCCAAUGAUUCCGACGAUUCGCUCUCCGAGAUAGAUCCUGAACUCCGUUAUAGUUUCCAGUAUAACUUUUAGAGUGUAUGAAAUUGACAAAAUAUGUUGAUCUGAAACCCUCCCUUACUGCCGCUGUCGUCUGAAACCCUUUCCGAAGCCGCUCCCCUCCUACAGCUGCCGCCGCUUCCAGUUUCAGGGAGAGCAGACAAUGUCUUUAUCAUUCUCCUCAUCUAUUUCGCACCUUCUUCUAUCAAUCUUAUAUUGUCUUAAUCGAUUGUAUUUUUUGUGAUAAAGCAGGGAAAGCAUAUGGCAAAUAGCGAUGUUGUCGUGCUAAGUUCAAUCCAACAUUCCCCUAAAUCUAUGUUUUAAUAUCUGUUUCGAUAAUCAAUAUUGUACUGAGCUUGCUGCUGUUUAAACAUCAACUUGGGAAAAUGGCUAAAGGAAAAUGUGCUUUCAUUGAGUAUGAAGUAAAAUGUUCUGCCAAGCAUAGGCAGAAACAUGACAGAUCCGUGUUAAGGAGCAUGGUUCUGUUUAUAUUUGUGGAAUUAAUGAUUGGGACUACUGUGGCUGUUUCUUGUGAUGUUAAUAUAAGGGAGUACGGUUGAUGGUGUAAAUAUUUGGAUUGUGUUCCUUCCAAAUGGUGGAGCUGUAAUGGAGAUCAAAUGAAGUGUGAGGUAUUGGUAUAAUGAUUUUGGGAUUAAUAAUUAAUACAUGAUUGAAAAUGUUUAUUCUAAAAAUGCAUAUCGGUGUGAAUACAUGGAAAUUGACACUGACUUGCAUAAGUAGUAGUGAUAGGUAUAUGGACUUUCCAUUCACCAAUAUAUCGCAAGUUUGAGUCCAGGAUUUGUGUGAUAUGAUAUGCUCCUCUCCUUGUUUAGGAUUCUUCCUUUUCUUUCUUUCUUUAUAUAAGAAUUUGUGGCAAAUGACAUGCUUUUAGGUUAUACAGUAAUUUAAUUUGACCAUAUACAGUAGUUUUACAAUUAAUAACGUGCUCUUGGAAAAUUGAUCAACAUUUGAACGGAUUUGUUUGCGGUAGAGAAAAGAUCACUGAUUU